rnacentral:rRNA from 1 species
AGUGAACGCUGGCGGUAGGCCUAACACAUGCAAGUCGAACGGCGGCACAGUUCUAGCUUGUUCUUACAGGUGCGGAUUGGCGGUGGUGGCCUGGAUACCUCGGAAUUUAUUUUUUCGUGCGGCCUCACGCAGGGCCUCUUACGGUAAUAGUGCUUACGGCCUAAGGGUGUGAGCUUGGGAUCUUCUGCUCUUUCGUGAUUGUAUGAGCCUAUGUCGGGUUAGCUAGUUGGCGGGGUACAGACCCACCAAGGCGACGAUCCGUAGCUGGUCUGAUAGGAUGAUCAGCCACACUGGAGCUGAGACACGGUCCAGACUCCUACGGGAGGCAGCAGUGGGGAAUAUUGGACAAUGGGCGCAAGCCUGAUCCAGCCAUACCGCGUGGGUGAAGAUGGUCUUCGGGUUGUAAAGCACUUUUAGUUGGAAAGAAAAGCAGUAGGUUAAUACCCAGCUGUUCUGACGGUACCCAAAGAAUAAGCACCGGCUAACUUCGUG